CAUUGCUAAUAAAAUGCGAAAAGAAUCCGAGCAGGAGCCGACAGGAAAAUAUUGAGAGAAAUUUCGUCCAGAAAUUUCGCCUUAACUUCAUCAGGAUUGGAGCGAAGUAAGAAGUCUUGGCAGGAUCAAUAACAAACGUGAGGGGAACUCUUCAGAACCGAGCCUUCAAAACGAGCUCCCUUGCGGCCUUCAUCACCAUGUACAGAUCUCCACUAUAGCCAGUGAUUGUUGACGGCACAAGCGUCUUACCUACGACUCCAGAUGCACCUCUUGUGAAACUGAAGUGGGAAAGAAUGCAGUUAUAACUUCUGCGAAAAAUUGAGCCCUCGGGAGCGCAGUUCAACGUGAGCCGCUGUCUUAGAUGGAUCGUACAACCGUCCGCUGCGCUUUUCCAAUGUCGCUGUUCAUUGCGAUCUCUCGUGAUCUUAAUUAGUGAACGGUGUAUGUCAUUCUGUACACGCUAGUCCGCAUUGCUGUCUGAUUACACCGGACUCAUCAUUAAUUAAUUAACAUUAAGUAACGCGGGAAUGGAAUGUGACAUGAAAAGUGAAUAAAUUGUGCUAGAUGCGCGCGGUGAAGACAACUUGCAGUUUCUCCAUCUAAUUUAGAUAUCAUUGGAAAUCAUCGAUUGAUUGUAUGUGUGAAAAUUCCUCAAAGUGCUCGAGGAGUGAUGUCGAGUAGCACGGUUGACAUACCUGGAUUUUUUAUUCCUGGACACCCCACGGUGAGAUGCUGGAUCAACAGGCCGGAAGAUAUCGGGAUUCCACCUUCUCGUCUCGGAGGGCAAGACAAACGUUUACGUUUCACGCUGGCCGCCCUUAAUUGGCUCUACUUAAUGACCGGCCGUCAUCAUCAGGCUCCGUGACUCACGACGCUUGCUCGAGCAGAAUUCUAGCGUUACCCUCGUUUUACGCUUUACUGCGCGUUUAUUUGAGAUCCUUAGGAGAUACACCCCAGAUAACAAGGUGACGUCUUAAUGACGUCCUAAUAACGUCACGUUCUUACUUGGGAAGCUAUUCGACGUCUGAUACUCUGCAGCGGCUUCCGCGAUGAAUUUAGUUGAUAAUAAUGUAAAAUCGAAAGAAACUAAUGCAGCUGUUAACUGAUUACAUCAAUACAAUUUUUAGCGUGAUCACAACAAAUAACAUUGCAAACUCUAUUGAACGUAUCAGAUCGAAAAGACAACAAAGACACAAGAAGACAAGUUUGGCUGGAUUUUCUCGAUGUGAAUCUCAUGAACUUCUAUAAACGACUGCAGAAGAAUCAAAUAUUACUUGCGAAAUGUUCUGAUUUGCAUUCCGUGCAAUUUUAUAAUCAUAACAACCGUAAUUAUAUCACACGGUGCUUAUUAUUUAUAACACUUAUAUUCACUGACUUCUUUACAUCGUAUUCUUUACAUCUUUCAUUAUUUAUUCUAAUCGUUAUAUUGAUUGACAAUAUAAAUCGCUUUACGGUGAUGAAAUCAUUGGUCCGUAAGAUUAGAUUCGGAAGAGUCGUUUUUUAAUCGCCUUAAGGAUAGUUCAUGGGAACUGCUUACUCCGUUUUUGCUCUUACUAGAUAUUCAAUUGAAAAAUAAGUUUUUCAUGGGAACUGUUUACUCCGUUUUCGUUCUUAUUAGAUAUUCAAGUAAAAAAUAAGUUUUUCAUGAUCAAUAUCGGGAAAACGAACUUCUAGGUCGAGAUGAAAGGGAGGCAACGUGCGCUGAAUUAAAAAAUAAGCUUUCCAAGAUCAAUAUCGGGAAAACGAACUGAUUCCAAGCCGAGAUGAAAGACAGGGAAGGUGCGCCGAAUUAAAAAAUAAAUAUUUUCAUAAUCAAAGUCGGAGAAACGAACUUCCAGGCCGAGAUAAAAGGGAGGGAAGGUGUGCCGAAGUAAAAAAGUUCUUUAAGAUCAAUAACGGGAAAGCAAACUGAUUCCAAGCCGAGAUGAAAGGGAGGGAAGGUGCGCCGAAAUAAGUCCGACGACUGGAGGAGGAUGAAUCAUCCCCGUAGGCGAAUCGAGGCGAUCAAUAUCAAAGAUACAGCUGCCUGAUAAGAUAUCUUUCUCUUCGUCGAGCACACUUGUCGUGUGGGACCGGAGGAAUGCAAAGUGCAGGCUGGAAACUGCGCGGAAUAUACGAGACUGAGGGAAUGCUGUUGCCACUCGUACCUGGCCUCCGUCU
rnacentral:misc_RNA from 1 species